UACGAAGGGUGCAAACGUUGCUCGGAAUUAUUGGGCGUAAAGCGCACGUAGGCGGCCAAGCAAGUCGGAUGUGAAAUCCCUCGGCUCAACCAAGGAAGUGCAUCCGAAACUGCAGGGCUUGAGUACUUAAGAGGAUCGCGGAAUUCCCGGUGUAGAGGUGAAAUUCGUAGAUAUCGGGAGGAACACCAGUGGCGAAGGCGGCGACCUGGGAAGAUACUGACGCUGAGGUGCGAAAGCGUGGGGAGCAAACAGG
rnacentral:rRNA from 1 species